UAGAGUUUGAUCCUGGCUCAGAAUGAACGCUGGCGGCGUGCUUAACACAUGCAAGUCGUACGAGAACUCUUCUGCUUGCAGAAGAUAGUAAAGUGGCGCACGGGUGAGUAACGCGUGGGUAAUCUAUCUUUGAAUUGGGGAUAACCCCGCGAAAGCGGGGCUAAUACCGAAUAAUAUCCCGAGAACUUAGGUUUUUGGGAUCAAAGGUGGCCUCUACAUGUAAGCUACUGUUUAGAGAUGAGCCCGCGUACCAUUAGCUUGUUGGUAGGGUAAUGGCCUACCAAGGCAACGAUGGUUAGCUGGUCUGAGAGGAUGAUCAGCCACACUGGAACUGACACACGGUCCAGACUCCUACGGGAGGCAGCAGUGAGGAAUUUUGCGCAAUGGGGGAAACCCUGACGCAGCAACGCCGCGUGAGUGAUGAAGGCUUUCGAGUCGUAAAGCUCUGUCAAGUGAGAAGAAUCUAUCCUGCGCCAAUACCGCGGGAUACUGACGGUAUCACUGAAGGAAGCACCGGCUAACUCCGUGCCAGCAGCCGCGGUAAUACGGAGGGUGCAAGCGUUAUUCGGAAUUAUUGGGCGUAAAGGGCGCGUAGGCGGUCUUUUAAGUCAGAUGUGAAAGCCCGGGGCUCAACCUCGGAAGUGCAUUUGAAACUAAGAGACUUGAGUAUGGGAGAGGGAAGUGGAA
rnacentral:rRNA from 1 species